AGGCGUAGGCGAUGGAUAACAGGUUGAUAUUCCUGUACCACCUAUAAUCGUUUUAAUCGAUGGGGGGACGCAGUAGGAUAGGCGAAGCGUGCGAUUGGAUUGCACGUCUAAGCAGUAAGGCUGAGUAUUAGGCAAAUCCGGUACUCGUUAAGGCUGAGCUGUGAUGGGGAGAAGACAUUGUGUCUUCGAGUCGUUGAUUUCACACUGCCGAGAAAAGCCUCUAGAUAGAAAAUAGGUGCCCGUACCGCAAACCGACACAGGUAGUCAAGAUGAGAAUUCUAAGGUGAGCGAGCGAACUCUCGUUAAGGAACUCGGCAAAAUGACCCCGUAACUUCGGGAGAAGGGGUGCUCUUUAGGGUUAACGCCCAGAAGAGCCGCAGUGAAUAGGCCCAAGCGACUGUUUAUCAAAAACACAGGUCUCUGCUAAACCGUAAGGUGAUGUAUAGGGGCUGACGCCUGCCCGGUGCUGGAAGGUUAAGAGGAGUGGUUAGCUUCUGCGAAGCUACGAAUCGAAGCCCCAGUAAACGGCGGCCGUAACUAUAACGGUCCUAAGGUAGCGAAAUUCCUUGUCGGGUAAGUUCCGACCCGCACGAAAGGCGUAACGAUUUGGGCACUGUCUCAACGAGAGACUCGGUGAAAUCAUAGUACCUGUGAAGAUGCAGGUUACCCGCGACAGGACGGAAAGACCCCGUGGAGCUUUACUGUAGCCUGAUAUUGAAAUUCGGCACAGCUUGUACAGGAUAGGUAGGAGCCUUUGAAACGUGAGCGCUAGCUUACGUGGAGGCGCUGGUGGGAUACUACCCUAGCUGUGUUGGCUUUCUAACCCGCACCACUUAUCGUGGUGGGAGACAGUGUCAGGCGGGCAGUUUGACUGGGGCGGUCGCCUCCUAAAAGGUAACGGAGGCGCUCAAAGGUUCCCUCAGAAUGGUUGGAAAUCAUUCAUAGAGUGUAAAGGCAUAAGGGAGCUUGACUGCGAGACCUACAAGUCGAGCAGGGUCGAAAGACGGACUUAGUGAUCCGGUGGUUCCGCAUGGAAGGGCCAUCGCUCAACGGAUAAAAGCUACCCCGGGGAUAACAGGCUUAUCUCCCCCAAGAGUUCACAUCGACGGGGAGGUUUGGCACCUCGAUGUCGGCUCAUCGCAUCCUGGGGCUGUAGUCGGUCCCAAGGGUUGGGCUGUUCGCCCAUUAAAGCGGUACGCGAGCUGGGUUCAGAACGUCGUGAGACAGUUCGGUCCCUAUCCGUCGUGGGCGUAGGAAAUUUGAGAGGAGCUGUCCUUAGUACGAGAGGACCGGGAUGGACAUACCUCUGGUGUACCAGUUGUCGUGCCAACGGCAUAGCUGGGUAGCUAUGUGUGGACGGGAUAAGUGCUGAAAGCAUCUAAGCAUGAAGCCCCCCUCAAGAUGAGAUUUCCCAACUUCGGUUAUAAGAUCCCUCAAAGAU
rnacentral:rRNA from 1 species